rnacentral:lncRNA from 1 species
CUCAAGUUCGGGAGGCGUUACCUGCGGAGGGUUUGAGGCAGGCCCAGGAGCGAGCCCACGGUCUGCCGACGCGGGGCCAGCGGCGGGCCCCAGGAUCCGGAGCUUCGGGCGGGGCCGAGUCCAGGCAGGAAUCGGAGUGCCGUAGUACAAUCACAGCUCACUGCAGCCUCAAACUCCUGGGUUCCAGCGAUCCUCCCGCCUCAGCCUCCCCAGUAGCUGGGGCUACAGCCCAGUAAAGGCGCCAUUCCCCAUUUUACAGCUGGGGAAACUGAGUUACAGAGCUUGUCUACACUGAGUCAACAGGAGCAAAUGCUAGAUCAGGUCUAGCUGGAGUACAGUGAUGCAGUCAUAGCCCACUGCAGCCUCAAAAUUCCUGGGCUCAAGCAAUCCACCCACAUCAGCUUCCCAAGUAGUUGGGACUACAGGCCCACACUACUAUACCCAGGAUCUCUCUCUCUCUGCCACCCAGGCCAGAGCGCAGUUGAUGCAGGUCAGGGGAGCCCCCCAGUGGAGCAUAGUGUGUCCAGAACUGGUGGGUUGUUGGUCUCACUGACUUCAAGAAUGAAGCCACGGACCCUCGGGGUGAGCGUCACAGUUCUUAAAGGCGGUGCGUCCGGAGUUUUUUCCUUCUGAUGCUCGGAUGUGUUCAGAGUUUCUUCCUUCUGGUGGGUUGCUGGUCUCACUGGCUUCAGGAGUGAAGCUGCAGACCUUCAAGGCUGGAGUGCAAUGGUGCCAUCUCAGCUCGCUGCAACCUCUGCCUUCUGGAUUAAAGCAAUUCUCCUGCCUCAGCCUCCCGGGUAGCUGGGAUUACAGGUGCACACCACCACGCCCGGCUAAUUUUUUGUAUUUUUAAUAGAGACAGGGUUUUGCCAUGUUGGCCAGGCUGGUCUCAAACCCCUGACCCUGUGAUCUGCCCGAUUUGGCCUCCCAAAGUCCUGGGAUUACAAACAUGAGCCACCGUACCCAGCCACUCUUGAUUAACUUAAUGGAAAUAUUUAGAGAUUCUUUCUUUUCUGGGUUCUAGAGUCUUCUCUGUAACCUCUGCAGGUAAUACAUUUUCCUUCCUGAUAAAGCAUUUCUAUGGUUGCUUUCACUUGCAAAUCCUCUAAUACUUAUUUAUUCCAUUUCUGAUUGGCAUUAGACAUAAUUCUCAAUUUUUAGUGACAGCACUUUUGUUAACUUACAUAUAAAUCGACUUUGCCUUGAAAUGUGACAUUGACUAGAAGGACGACACUUCUAACAUGUUGUAGAACAUAGUUUGACUGGCUAAUUUAUUAUUUAGAAGAAGCUAAUAUUGCCAUUAUGAGGGACUUAGGUGGCUCUGAAGAACAAGUUGUAUUUCUGAUGUUUGCAAUGUUAAAUCACAGAUAUUGCCAAUGUGAAAUAGUUUCCGUAUGCUGUGUUCUCAAUACACACCUUUUCCAAGGAUAUCCCAAGCUGUAGUCUUAGGAAACUGUGAUUUUUCUUAUUUGGUCUCAUAGGAAUUUGGGGAGCUAUGCGGGAUCUCCAUAAAAUGAGCUCCAGAAAGACACAUGUGUGCGCGCACACACACACACACACACACACACACUCACACAUGUACCGCACCACAAUUGAAUCUGUUUAUUUGGGACCCAUGAUUAUUUUCAACAAACACUUCUGAGAAAUAAUCUGAACACUUAAUUGGAUGCAAAAGAGUGAGUAUUUACUAUUCUACCCUUUAAUUAGCAUAAUCAAUGUUUCCAGCAGCAAAAGCAAUUGGAAAAUCGCUAGUUUUAUUAGGUUCAUUAUUCUCCCUUAGCGUAGUGUGGCAUCAGCAUGGCUAUUAUUCUUAAAUUGCCUCCUUAAAACAAGGGCUGGUGCUUCUUACAGGCCAUUCCUAACUCUUGGGUUUUGUAGAGAGUCCAAAACUCUUUAGAACCUAUAAUUCAAGGAAAGGCUCCACUUUGGUUUUGCAUUUUGUCUGGUCUCUUUGGCUGACAGAAUUUAUGUCAAAAGGUGCACAUGUUUGUGGGAGGCUCAUGGACAGCCCAUCACGUUUGUGCUUUGGUAGGAAGUACGUGCCAUUAAGGGGAAGGAGUUAGUUACUGAUUCUAGGGAACAAUUGGGUAGAAAGAGAUGGACUCCCUGUGUUUGAAAUUCAGAACUCAAGCUUGGCUCUAAGUGUUUCCUUGCUUUGCUGUGCUCCAGGGGAGUCCUUGAGCAGAAGGAAGCAAGUUGCCUGAGAUUCUUCAAAGCCCGCAGCCCUUUUGGAGGUUAGAUGGUUAUUCUCAGAGCCUUUAUGAUGCAUAAUAAAGACCUAGCUUGGACCAAUAUUAGGAUGAGUUAUCUUGCUAUUAACAUUCUUUUAGGUAGAAGUUGCUGGUCCCAUCUUGCUCACAAUCCUCCAAAGUUUGAAAGUUAUUUUCCAGGAGACUUGGCUUGCACUGAGAGCUGCCCUCCCACCCUCUCUCCAAAUUUCCUCUUGGGGGUAGCCUAACAAGGUGCUGUCACAGACCCUUGUCGGCCACGAUGACCCCACCCAGACCAUCCCUCUGCUGUUUCACUCUUUGAUAGUCUCUGGAGCUCUCUGGGGAGGGGUGAGACCUGCCGUCUAGUUUGUAUGGUUUGCCCAGGUCUUACAGUCAUGGCUGGCUGCCUCUCUCUGAGAACUAGAACUCCUGAACUUGGUGAAAGACCUCAGCCAUCGAUCAUGUUGAAUUAUCGGGGACACUCAUUUGAAAUCCGAGCCUGUUCCAGAUAGACUCUCUCUCUUUCUGCCCUGACCGUGAGAGAAGCCCUGCUGGACGGUGGAGACACUCGUGGGCUGUGAGCAAGGGAUGCAAAGGCUGCCGGGAAUCCCAUCUUUCCAGCAUCAUCUGCCAAGGCACAUUAGUUCCUGGGUAUCUGGAUGGGUUCUAGCAGCAUUACUGUCAUUGAAGGAAAAAUUUUAGCCAUAUUAAAGGUUAAUGCAGCAAUCUCCACAUAGGCUGCCUGGAAGGGAAGCAGGACAAGGUUAGGUUUUCCUUGUGAUGGACAGGAGGCAGGCGGCCCUCCCACAGCCCUGCCUGGCAAUACAGAUGUGUCCCCAAAAGGCACUGGGGGCCAGCUGGAGUGCUAUGCCGAGGCGGACUGACCCGGGCCGUGGGUUCACUCUGCUGGCAGCGGUUUCCCGCCAGCUCCUUGCAGAGUUGGCAGAUGGCCCAGCCCCACAGCAGGAGCCGGGAAUGGCAGAACGAGACACAACAAUUUGAUAUCCACUUGCCAGAUGAGCCGGGUGUCAUCAGUCGCCUGGCUCUAUGCCCAACCUCUUUUUGCAUAAACACUUAUGGAUUCAGCCAAGAGGAAAAGCACUCUGAUUAUGAAUUGAGCAGAAGGAAACAAAGUUCUGCAGAUAAACACCAAUGAAACAAAAAACCACGAAUAAGAAAAAUGACAGAAAAGGAGAACCUUCCCAGAAUCCUCCUGCCAGUGAACGGUCACCAGAGCAAGAGCAUGGAGUCCCUGGGUUUUGAACUGUGAGAUAAGGAAGAUGAUGAAAACCUCCCUAGCAGCCAGCCAGGUACUAUUCUAGAUUGUCUUGUGAUAUUUACAAUCUAGGAGAAGGCAGGAGAGAGAACUAAGAACAGAGAGCAUGUUCUGAGAUGUCUGCUGUGUUUGCAGACUUAGAUUUUUGGCUGGACUAUUGGCUUGGGAUAGAUGAAAAUCAUUCCUUGUAUCCCCUGAUCUUAAAGUCAAGACUGAACCAGCCUCCAGAUGCAAGCCUUCAUGGGGCUUCAGAUACCAUGAGGAAUGGGCGUCCCUGCAAUAUUGUCAUGGCUGUCAAAAGUGUUAUUGGAGCUGGAAACUCCUGGAGGGCAGAGCCAUGCCUGCCAUUUUCAUCAUUGCAUUACCACCACCCAGCACAGUGCCUGGUACAAAAGAGUUGCUCAAUAAAUAAAUCAGGAUGAAUGGACAAAUACACGGAUAGGCACUUUGAACUACAGAUGAGCUUAAAUACUUUGUGUUUUUCUUAGUCAAACAUGUGCAAUUAAGCAUGUGAUAAAUUAUAUGAUGACCACACCUGUGUCUUGCCUGAUGUUCUUUGCAAUCACUAAACAAAGUCAAUUUUGCCUGUUUUGACAGUUCUGUUUUCAACCUAAUGAUCCGUUUCUUUUAACUUCUGGCUGUUGGCUUUGUUUGGGUUUGUUAGCCUGACAAAGUGGCAGAUAUUGGUAUUUGCUCUUUUGUUUAAAUGUCACGAACUUUAAAAAUGCCUUUGCUUUUGGUAAGAAACCCUAGUUAGGACAGUCUAGUGGUCAGGAUGAUUUGGGUUCUGAUGCAGUAACAACAACCCCCAAAUCUCAGUGGCUCCAUGCGG